UACGGAGGGGGCUAGCGUUGUUCGGAAUUACUGGGCGUAAAGCGCACGUAGGCGGCUUUGUAAGUUAGAGGUGAAAGCCCGGAGCUCAACUCCGGAAUUGCCUUUAAGACUGCAUCGCUAGAACGAUGGAGAGGUAAGUGGAAUUCCGAGUGUAGAGGUGAAAUUCGUAGAUAUUCGGAAGAACACCAGUGGCGAAGGCGACUUACUGGACAUCUGUUGACGCUGAGGUGCGAAAGCGUGGGAGCAAACAGG
rnacentral:rRNA from 1 species